rnacentral:lncRNA from 10 species
UUCAACGCCUUUAGAACAAUGGCAGUCACAUAGUAGGUACUCAAUGUUUGGAGUACGAAUAAUGUACUCUUAUUAUUCAAAGACCAGCUAGAAAGUUACCUUCUUUGAGGGGUCUUCCUGAUAGUUACAGUGACAAGGAGACUUAAUCGCCCCCAAACACUUACCACUUUACACUGCUUGGUUGUCUCCAUUACACAACUAAUUCCCCGAGGGGAAGGAUCUUGAAUAACUGAUCUUUGUUGUAGGCGGCUAGCACAGUACCCAGAUCAUAGAGGGAACUCAGAAUCUGAUGCUGGCACUUGUAAUCAGAAAGUCUGGGCUGAGAUCCCAGUAUCUUCACUGACUGGCUUUGUGAUCUCAGGCUGGUCACUUAGCAUUUCGAACGCCGCGCUACCUACCCCGCCCACCCCAGGAGCGAACAGUGUUGCUGCCCCAAAGCGCCGAAUAGAUCGCAGAACGUAGUGGGAAAGUAAGGGACUAUUAUGAUCUGUACCCCACCCCGACGCACGCCAAGCGGCUUUUUCCCCAUUUGUGGCCAAAUUUCCCGGCAUGGGGAAGGAGCCUUAGGGGAAGCACCCGGGACCUCCUUGGCUUCUUCUGGGAGUCUAGUUUCACCUAUUUCGUUUCGCCAACAGGCGAGACGGGCAAGACUUCGGGCUCAGCUGCCACCAUCAGUACUGACCUGUCCAUGGCUAAAGCCUUUUCCACACACAACCAAAGUUGGCUGCAGUUUAGCUACCGCGUUUUAGCCUUCCCGCUCUCCGGAAGCAAGCCCUUCGACCCGGAAGCAGUCUGUCCCUAAAACAGACCCACAGAAAAGGGGUUCAGGUACUCCAUGUGAUAUAUGGUUCCACAAUCCUCAGCGUGUUAACUGAAGCCUUGUUGAGUUUAACAAAGCUGCCAUUGAAGAUCUGGGGAAAGUGAAGAAGUUGCAACAGAGUUUUGGGCUCACACCAUUGAUACAUUUGAUCCUUAAGGCCCACCCCGCCUCACUCCCACCCUCUUCUACUUAAUUCAGGAUGUGAAUAGCACAUGCCUUCCAUCUUCAGACAAACACUGAGGCCUGGACAAUGACCUGCAUUAGGUAGAUAGAAUCUACUGAAAGCUAAAAGCCUUUUCCUGUGUCUUAGCAGCACGGAAGCCACGCCUCCUUCCCCCCAAUGUUUGUGCAAACCCUAGAGAAGAGGAGACAGCCCCUAUGAUGUGUGAGGUUGAAUUUCCUGCCCUCAACCCAUCAAAUCAGGCAGAAUGAGGGCUCAGUCAGAACUACAACUACAAAAGAGAAAAAUUUUAAUGUGACUUUUCUUGUCUGCUCAGAUUUUUGGGUUAAGGUUCAUGCCAGCUACAUUCUUUGCAUAAUAAAAUAUAAAUAGAGUAUAAAUUGUUCUAGUUAGAGAAAACAGCAAAACAGUGCUCUCCCAAGGGCCCUAAUAAAUCACUUUACAGAAA